UUCACCUCAGCUGUCUGCUAGUAGAUCUGCUUCUUGCUGCCUCUCUCAUUAUUUCAAUUCCACUUUACUGAUACCACCACCAACCUCCUGACUGUAUAAGGCACUUUAUUUCUCCAAGCCCCUAAUUCUCACUUGAAAAAUGGCAUUAGCAAUUAGAUAAUCUUUCAAAUUCUUCCUCCCUCGAAAACUUGCUCACACCUCACAGAAGGGCAGGACUCCUCAGGAUGAUGGUCAACACCACCAUAGAAUAGCUAAACCCAAAACCAGGAGAGGAGGGUGGGUAUCAGAUAUGAAAGUAAAA
rnacentral:lncRNA from 1 species